rnacentral:rRNA from 1 species
CGUACGGGAGGCAGCAUUGGGGAAUAUUCGACAAUGGGCGCAAGCGUGAUCCAGCAAUACCUCGUGUGUGAAGAAGGCGUGCGGGUUGUAAAGCACUUUCGUUUGGGAGGAUAUGCUAUAUGUUAAUAGCAUAGAGAGCUGACGUUACCAAAAUAAGAAGCACCGGCUAACUUUGUGCCAGCAGCCGCGGUAAUACAGAGGCUGCGAGCGUUAAUAGGAAUUACUGGGCGUAAAGAGUGCGUAGGUGGCUAUGUUAGUCAGGUGUGAAAAUUAGGAGCUUAACUUCGAACCUGCGCUUGAAACCGCUUAGCUAGAGUCCUGUAGAGGGCAGUGGAAUUUCCGGAGUAGCGGUGAAAUGCGUAGAUAUCGGAAGGAACACCAGUGGCGAAGGCGAUUGCCUGGCCAGAGACUGACAAUGAGGCAAGAAAGCGUGGGUAGCAAACAGGAUUAGAUACCCUGGUAGUCCACGCCGUAAACGAUGAGAACUAGCUGUUGGCCCCUUCGGGGGAAAGUAGCGUAGCUAACGCGUUAAGUUCUCCGCCUGGGGAGUACGGCCGCAAGGCUAAAACUCAAAGGAAUUGACGGGG